UGCUCCCUUAGUGAAUUUCAGCGAUUCGUGAAAAGCUCCGCCCAAAUCGAUGGAAACUCGGGGGUUGUUGUUGAAUGGCGAAGCUUGAAGCGAAACUCAGAAUGAUAGUUGACUCCGUUGGUAACUUCUUCUCUGGCAAAGACCAGCUUCCCUGGUGUGACCCUGACAUCGUCGCUGUCAAAAUCGAAGUGGCGACUAUUCAAGGAGUAGGGAUCUGGUCA